AUCCAGCUGACGAGUCCCAAGCAGUACGAAACGAGCAUCCUGGAU
rnacentral:hammerhead_ribozyme from 1 species